AUGGAUAAACUUUAGAACCAAAAUUCGUGUUAUACUAUGGUAUAACACGAAUUUUGGUUCUAUAGUUAUAUUCAGA
rnacentral:pre_miRNA from 12 species